UGUCUCUGGUUUCUCUUCAUUCCCGCAUAAAUCUUUCGCCUUUUACUAAAGAUUUCCGUGGAGAGGAAUAUCGAAGAGUCCAAAUGAUUUUUUGAAAGCUUUGCUGUUGCAGAGCU
ensembl:snRNA U5 U5 spliceosomal RNA